UCAAGCGAACAAGUGCAUGUGGUGGAUGCCUUGGCGAUCACAGGCGAUGAAGGACGCGGUAGCCUGCGAAAAGCCCCGGGGAGCUGGCAAACAAGCUUUGAUCCGGGGAUGUCCGAAUGGGGAAACCCACUCCUUUUGGAGUAUCCAUAGCUGAAUACAUAGGCUAUGUGAAGCGAACGCGGUGAACUGAAACAUCUAAGUAACCGCAGGAAAAGAAAUCAACCGAGAUUCCCAAAGUAGUGGCGAGCGAAAUGGGAUGAGCCUUGUACUCUUUAUUUGUAUUGUUAGCCGAACGCUCUGGAAAGUGCGGCCAUAGCAGGUGAUAGCCCUGUAGGCGAAAACAGUAUGAAAGAACUAGGUGUACGACAAGUAGGGCGGGACACGUGAAAUCCUGUCUGAAGAUGGGGGGACCAUCCUCCAAGGCUAAAUACUCGUGAUCGACCGAUAGUGAACCAGUACCGUGAGGGAAAGGCGAAAAGAACCCCGGGAGGGGAGUGAAAUAGAUCCUGAAACCGCAUGCAUACAAACAGUCGGAGCCUCGUAAGGGGUGACGGCGUACCUUUUGUAUAAUGGGUCAGCGACUUACGUUCAGUAGCAAGCUUAACCGUAUAGGGCAGGCGUAGCGAAAGCGAGUCCGAAUAGGGCGUUCAGUUGCUGGGCGUAGACCCGAAACCAGGUGAUCUAUCCAUGGCCAGGAUGAAGGUGCGGUAACACGUACUGGAGGUCCGAACCCACUAACGUUGAAAAGUUAGGGGAUGAGCUGUGGAUAGGGGUGAAAGGCUAAACAAACCUGGAAAUAGCUGGUUCUCUCCGAAAACUAUUUAGGUAGUGCCUCGUGUCUCACCUUCGGGGGUAGAGCACUGUCAUGGUUGGGGGGUCUAUUGCAGAUUACCCCGCCAUAGCAAACUCCGAAUACCGAAGAGUGCAAUCACGGGAGACAGACAUCGGGUGCUAACGUCCGGUGUCAAGAGGGAAACAACCCAGACCGCCAGCUAAGGUCCCCAAAUAUGGCUAAGUGGGAAACGAAGUGGGAAGGCUAAAACAGUCAGGAGGUUGGCUUAGAAGCAGCCACCCUUUAAAGAAAGCGUAAUAGCUCACUGAUCGAGUCGUCCUGCGCGGAAGAUGUAACGGGGCUAAGCCAUAUACCGAAGCUGCGGAUGCGUGCUUGCACGCAUGGUAGGAGAGCGUUCCGUAAGCCUGCGAAGGUGCCUUGUAAAGGGUGCUGGAGGUAUCGGAAGUGCGAAUGCUGACAUGAGUAGCGAUAAAGGGGGUGAAAGGCCCCCUCGCCGUAAGCCCAAGGUUUCCUACGCAACGUUCAUCGGCGUAGGGUGAGUCGGCCCCUAAGGCGAGGCAGAAAUGCGUAGCUGAUGGGAAGCAGGUCAAUAUUCCUGCACCGUCGUUAGAUGCGAUGGGGGGACGGAUCGCGGAAGGUUGUCCGGGUGUUGGACGUCCCGGUCGCUGCAUUGGAGAAGGCGCUUAGGCAAAUCCGGGCGCAGGAUUCAAGGGUGUGGCGCGAGCGACUUCGGUCGCGAAGCAAUUGGAAGUGGUUCCAAGAAAAGCCUCUAAGCUUCAGUCUAACGAUGACCGUACCGCAAACCGACACAGGUGGGCGAGAUGAGUAUUCUAAGGCGCUUGAGAGAACUCGGGAGAAGGAACUCGGCAAAUUGGUACCGUAACUUCGGGAUAAGGUACGCCCUUGUAGCUUGACCAGCCUGCGCUGGAAGGGUGAAGGGGUUGCAAUAAACUGGUGGCUGCGACUGUUUAAUAAAAACACAGCACUCUGCAAACACGAAAGUGGACGUAUAGGGUGUGACGCCUGCCCGGUGCCGGAAGAUUAAAUGAUGGGGUGCAAGCUCUUGAUUGAAGUCCCGGUAAACGGCGGCCGUAACUAUAACGGUCCUAAGGUAGCGAAAUUCCUUGUCGGGUAAGUUCCGACCUGCACGAAUGGCGUAACGAUGGCCACACUGUCUCCUCCCGAGACUCAGCGAAGUUGAAGUGUUUGUGAUGAUGCAAUCUACCCGCGGCUAGACGGAAAGACCCCAUGAACCUUUACUGUAGCUUUGCAUUGGACUUUGAACCGAUCUGUGUAGGAUAGGUGGGAGGCUAUGAAACCGGAACGCUAGUUUCGGUGGAGCCGUCCUUGAAAUACCACCCUGGUUUGUUUGAGGUUCUAACCUUGGUCCGUGAUCCGGAUCGGGGACAGUGCAUGGUAGGCAGUUUGACUGGGGCGGUCUCCUCCCAAAGGGUAACGGAGGAGUACGAAGGUACGCUAGGUACGGUCGGAAAUCGUGCUGAUAGUGCAAUGGCAUAAGCGUGCUUAACUGCGAGACCGACAAGUCGAGCAGGUGCGAAAGCAGGUCAUAGUGAUCCGGUGGUUCUGUAUGGAAGGGCCAUCGCUCAACGGAUAAAAGGUACUCUGGGGAUAACAGGCUGAUACCGCCCAAGAGUUCAUAUCGACGGCGGUGUUUGGCACCUCGAUGUCGGCUCAUCUCAUCCUGGGGCUGUAGCCGGUCCCAAGGGUAUGGCUGUUCGCCAUUUAAAGAGGUACGUGAGCUGGGUUUAAAACGUCGUGAGACAGUUUGGUCCCUAUCUGCCGUGGGCGUUGGAUAUUUGAAGGGGCUGCUCCUAGUACGAGAGGACCGGAGUGGACGAACCUCUGGUGUACCGGUUGUGACGCCAGUCGCAUCGCCGGGUAGCUAUGUUCGGAAGAGAUAACCGCUGAAAGCAUCUAAGCGGGAAACUCGCCUUAAGAUGAGAUAUCCCUGGAGGCUUGACCUCCUUGAAGGGUCGUUCGAGACCAGGACGUUGAUAGGUCGGGUGUGUAAGCGCAGUAAUGCGUUCAGCUAACCGAUACUAAUUGCCCGUAAGGCUUGAUCCU
rnacentral:rRNA from 1 species